rnacentral:tRNA from 1 species
GUGGAUGAACUUGGUGUUAUACUUGUAUAGCUGAAUGGUUUUUCCUAUAUGUAAGGUGUAGGUUCGAAUCCUACCGUCCACG